rnacentral:rRNA from 1 species
CACGUAGGGCGCAAGCGUUGUCCGGAAUUAUUGGGCGUAAAGAGCUCGUAGGCGGUCUGUUACGUCUGCUGUGAAAACCCGGGGCUCAACUCCGGGCUUGCGGGCGAUACGGCAGGCUAGAGUUCGGUAGGGGAGACUGGAAUUCCUGGUGUAGCGGUGAAAUGCGCAGAUAUCUGGAGGAACACCGGUGGCGAAGGCGGCGUCCUGGACCAACACUGACACUGAUGAGCGAAAGCCAGGGAGCGAAA